rnacentral:rRNA from 1 species
CCUACGGGAUGCAGCAGUGAGGAAUAUUGGUCAAUGGGCGCGAGCCUGAACCAGCCAAGUAGCGUGAAGGAUGACUGCCCUACGGGUUGUAAACUUCUUUUAUAAAGGAAUAAAGUGAGGCACGUGUGCCUUUUUGUCUGUACUUUAUGAAUAAGGAUCGGCUAACUCCGUGCCAGCAGCCGCGGUAAUACGGAGGAUGCGGGCGUUAUCCGGUUUUAUUGGGUUUAACGGGUGCGUAGGGGGAUCGUUAAGUCAGUGGUAAAAUUUAGGGGCUCAACCCCUACCCGCCAUUGAAACGGGCGCACUUGAGUGGGAGAGAAGUAUGCGGAAUGCGUGGUGUAGCGGUGAAAUGCAUAGAUAUCACGCAGAACCCCGAUUGCGAAGGCAGCAUGCCGGCUUCCUACUGACGCUGAAGCACGAAAGCGUGGGGAUCGAACAGGAUUAGAUACCCUGGUAGUC